CCACAUGACUGCCUUCCCCUGUCUUUCACAUGGGCUGUAAUUUAGUUCAAUUCAGAACUGCAGAUAGUACAGCUUUCACAGAAGCAAUGGGAUGUCUGAGCACAAGUGGCUGACUUGGGAGUGACUUUAUGAAGCACUUUUCUGCCUUCCUCAGGCAUAAAAAACUGGAAUUCUGCACCUGCAUCAGAAAAGGACCAGACUAAUUCUGCAAUCCAGUAACAAGAAAUUCACAAGCUAAGCAGUUUGAAAUUAAAUCACGAGAGAUUUACCAACUAGAAGACAAAGGUAGAUGAAGUCACUUUGACCCCUGCCUGUUACAUAGAAGCUUUGGAAGUGUUGUGAAGUCUCUAAGAUUUGAGGUAGAGAUGAGUCUGCUAUGCUGAAAAUCAAAAAAUGAUUCAGCAAAACAAGCCUCUCCCUGAAUAUUAUGGAGCUGGCCAUUUGAUUUGACAGAAGAUCUUUGAAAAUAGAGAUGAAUGCAUUUUUUCCUCUGUCUACUCACCACAUAUCCCAAGUCCUAACAUUCCCCUCAGGCCAAGAAAGGAAAAAAAAAGAAAGAAAAAAGAAGAGAAAAGGAGGAAGAGGAAGAAAGAUAAGUAAAGGGAAUAGGGGUCUAUGUUUGGUAUUAUUUUGGCAUAAAACUUACCUUGGAGACCUAGUUGCUUCUAAGGGAAUGGGAAAAAGGGGGAAAGUGAAGAGGAGUGGUAUAAAUAAAAAGGCAUUAUUUCAUGAGUCAUGACCAAAGAAGUGCUAGCCUCUUUCUAUAUAUGACAUUGCUGCGAUCACACUCAUCAGAAGGAAGUGUGAAGUUUUAGACUUUUCUUUACUUUAAAUGAACUUGUAAGAAAUGAAAAGAAAGAAGAAAUUCACAUGAGUGGAAUAAACAUGAUUUAUUAUUUGAUAUUUGGAAGCACCAAAUUGUCAUUUCAUGAUGAUCAUGAUAAUUAAUUUGCUUAUAUAAUUCAUAUACUAUUUUAACAUUUACAAAGUACAUAUUUCACAACUCUAGGAAUUGCUGGAAUUAGUCUAGGGUUUAGCUAUUUUAAGGCCCCAGGUUGUUUGUUCAACCAAUGCAUUAUUCCCUUCUUAAUCCAAUCAAAAUUAGUGUUCACACUUCAUAACAGGAUCAGAACAUAGACUCAUCUUUAGAGUUAGUUUGACACCUCGUUAGCAUCUUGUGAUUACCUGGGGGGAGUGAAGAUUCUCUAUCUCACAUAUUAACCCAAUUUUUAAAAAAUGUGUCAAAACUUGGUAUUUCUAGGAGAAAAGGAAACAAAUCAAGAAUAAUCAUUUUGAAAAGUUGAAGGAAAUCUUUUAGGAUGACAUGAUGAAACAGGAGAUUAAAGAGAAAGAAAAAAGAUUUUUAAAAAAGCAAAUAAACCAAAAGCUUGUAUUCUAGUCAUAUUUCUAACAUAAAACUGACUAUGUGAUCUCAGACCAGAUAUGUACUCUUUAUAUGCCUCAAUUUCACCUUGAGAAAUUGAGAAUUAAAUUAAAUGUUCUCUUAAAUGGCUAUGAAAUUCUAACAUUCUAUGAUAGUUUGACCACAAUCCCUCUGAUUGUUGUAGUACAUUACCCCCAAAAGUUAAGAUGAGCUUUUUUUUUGUUUCUUGCUAGACUAAUAUUCUUAAAAAUUAGGAGAAAUGUGACCUCAUGAUAUUAAGAUCUAUUGAGUUCUUAUAACUUUUUUUGGAUCAAAUUUUUGUAUAUCCAUAAUAGUAUUAAUUUUAUUCCCCCUAAAAUGUAUCAUUCUACAAAUUUCUCUAUUUCUGGUAAUGAUAAAAUUUCCCCCACCUUUUACCCUUGUUAAGGACCUAAUUUUCUUUUCCUUAGAUUUAUACAAUAGUCUAUUAAUUGAUUACCAUACCUCUAAUCUUUCUUUUCUCUCAUCUAUCCUGCACCAAAUCAUUCUCUUCAAACUCCAUAUUACUAUUAUAUCACCAUUAUUAUCUCUAUUUGGAAAUUUUCAAUGACUCCCUAUUAUAACUAGGAUAAAGUAUAAAAUCAUCAACAUGAUUUUUACAAACUUUUUCAGUGUUUCCCGUCUCAUAUUACUGGCUCUUGAAUGUAGCUAUGUUCUAGUCACACUAGCUUCCUAACAAUUUUCCCUAAGUUAAUCACAUUUUCACAUAUAUUUCUUUACACAAAUGUUCUGGAGUGAACUGUCACUUUUAAUAGGUGGCCAUUAAUAGCUAGGUGAAUCAGAAAGGUUUUCAUAUCUGAGGGAUAUGUACAUUGUAUCUUUCCAGGAGAUUUUAGCUCCUAAAAGCAGAAAUUAUUACUUGUUUUGUCUUGGAACAGGCUUUGCAUAUAGUGGAUGUUUUAAUAAAUGUUUUUUGAAUUCAAUUUGUUGAGUAAAUUCUAAAGUGAAAUGAUUGUUGAAUUGCUAUAGUGUAGUUAAGUGGUAAUUAUCUUAAUCUCUGCCACUUUGAUUCCUGGUGAUUCAAUUUCAAUGACUUAAAAUUGUUUGUUAAAGUCUCUUUAAUGUUGCUUUUCUCUCUCCAUUUCUGAUUUAACAUACAUUUGUUUGUUUCUUUAUGUACAGUUCACCUCAAUGCCUAUUUCCUUAGUCCAUAAAUAAUGUUAUUUUCUUUUUCCCUCUUGCUUUCCAAAGGAUUACUUUCACUCUCUAAAAUUCAAGUAAGAUUAAGAAGUGGAAUGUUACAUUCUAAUCAUUUUAAUAUGAAUACAACAGGAGUGUGUGCAUUAUAAAAAUAAUGGCUCCAUCGUACAUACUCAAAACUAGUUUCAGGGAAGCAGCUAGAUGGCACAGUGGAUAGAGCGCCUUCCUUGAAGUCAGGAGCACCUGAGCUCAAAUUUGGCCUCAGACACUGAACACUUCCUAGCUGUGUGACCCUGGGCAAGUCACUUAACCCCAAUUGCCUCAGCAAGAAAUAAAUAAACAAAUAAAUAAAUAAUAAAAUAAAAAAAAAGUAGUAUCAGUUUUCAUAAACAGAAAGAUGGGAGCAAAAUUAAAUAAGUUGUCAUCAGUAUACUAGAUAAAUAGUUUAAAAGUUUAGACAUGUAUUCUUAAGGAUUCUCUCCUGACUAAAAGGCUAGCAUGUAUCUUGAGGACAGUUGGUAUAUAUAAUAAAAUCCAUAAGGGACCAACAUUCAAAUUCAACUAAUAAUUUAUAUCUAUAGUACUGAUGAAUAGAUCUCCAGUAAGUUGCAGUGGGAUAUGUUAACUUUCCAUGUCCAGUCUCCUUAUAUUUGUAUUAUUUGAAGACAAGCCAUACUACAAAAAGGGCAUUAGAAAUACAAAAAUAAAAUUUUAUUAUUUAUAAAGAUGAUAUUGAAAAGUAUGCAUUUGAUUACAAAAUGGAUGUAUUAGCUAAUAGAACACUUAAGCACUCCUGCUGUUCUAUCAUGGACUUCUCCAGAAGCCACAUAAUUACAAAGUCAGUUGAGGUUUGAAUCUUAGAGCUGCCCAUUGCAGAGUAUAAAGGAUAUAAUUUUAACUCUACUAAAGUAACUGUCUCUUUCUACCACUAAAUGCAUUUGUAAUAAUGUUCUUUUCAGUGUAAUCUAGGUGCCCAAUCUCAGGAAAGACAGAUGUUUCAAUAGUCCCAAAUCAAUUCUGCCUUCACCAUAUAUUUACUCUUUGACAUACAUAUAUCAUCUCUGGUCUGUCUACAAAAAUGUCCAUCUGUUAGGAUGGCAUUCUUCCCAUUUAGAAAUCAUUUUUGCUUCCUUUCAUUAAGACAUAGAUUUUAAAUAAGGCUGAAUAGACAUUGGAUUUAGUAGGAUAGGGGAGGGCAAGAAAAAUCACAACCCCACUACCAGGAAUGUGUACCAUUUGAGAUUACAGGCAAUAAUAUUAUAAUUUUUUUUUUGAAAAUGCAACUACUACAUUAUCAAUGUGUUCUAUAGAUUUGUCUUUUUAGAAGAUGAGGAAAAAUUCUAUUUAUUCUUUGGAAGUUUAAGCUUUCAAACUUCAUAAAUUUCAUCAGCGUUUCAGAAUACACUGUAUUGUGAACCCCAAAGCAGCUACAAGUCUAGAAAGUGUAAAAAUAUAUACAAUCCAAUGUUCCUUUUUAUCUUACAUGAAAGUUCCUGUAAUUAUCUCCAUGAUAUGGUUGAUAUGUUUUAGUCUUCAAAACACUAAAACAUGUAAAUAGUUGAGGAAUUCUAUCAAAGCAAGGCUCCCAAAAUGUUUGCACACACACAAAAAAAAUGAUAGGGGAAAAUCAGUAAGCCAGUAAGAAUUUAUUAAGCAUAUUAAGCAUUGAAAAAUCAACUUUGAUCAUAUCAUGAAGCUCUUCUCCAUUACUAUAAUGACAAAAAAAUUGAAAUCCUCUGACAUGUGGGAAUUAAAGAUUCUCCUUUCAAGCAACUUCCUCAAUUGCAAAACUUGAAUCUAUUUACAUCUUAUAUCUAUUUUUUUUCUUUUCCACACAAUACCUUA